UUCUACAAUGUAGAAAAUAGUUUCAAAAAUAUAAAGAAAAAUCCUUGAAUGAGUAGGUGUGUCCAAACUUUUGACUGGUACUGUAUGUGGAUACAAACAGUGUCUCUCAGUGACUUACAGAAUGUAAACUAGUCUUAUAAUGUAUUUGAAAUAGUUAUUUCUGUAUGCUAACAGUGACUUUAGAGAAUGUAGACUAGUCGUAUGAAAUAGUUAUUUAUGUAUUAUAACAGGGACACGUUCUUUGUAAUUUUAAUGAAUAAAGUGAAACUUUGGCAAAGACAAAACAAGCAAAAAAAAUUUACGAACCGCGACGACAAUGCAGUGCUAACAGGCAACUAAACAUAAACAAUAUCCCAUAACCCACACAGGUGGGGGGGGAAGAAAAAAAAACAUGCUACUUAAAUAUGAUCCCCAAUUAGAGACAACGAUAACCAGCUGCCUCUAAUUGGGAAUCAUACACAAUCACCAACAUAGAAAUAGAAAAACCUAGAACCCCACAUAGAAAAUAUAAACUAGAACAACCCUGACCUACUCUACCAUAGAAAAUAAAAGCUUUCUGCGGUCAGGACGUGACAAACAGUGACUUACAGAAUGUAGACUAGUGAUAUAUUUUAAAUAGAUAUUUCAGUCAGAGCAGCGGUAUAUAUCCGUGUAACAGGGGGACUUGACAUUUAAAGGUAAUUUCCCAUACAGCCGACAGCGUGUGUGUGUGUGUGUGUGUGUGUGUGUGUGUGUGUGUGUGUGUGUGUGUGUGUGUACUAUGAAGGGUACAGGUCCAGUUGUCUUGUGGUUUCUCAGCUCCAGGCUAAACACAUAGGAUGUAUAUAUAGUUGAUUAGACCAUAGUGACGUAGGAGUAUAACUGUAUUCUGCGGCGUAAAGAGCAGAGAAUCACCGUGAUACUUGGCUUCAAUAUGGGUUUACCAGAUAUCUGGUUCAUCAGAGCUUCAAUAUGGGUUUACCAGAUAUCUGGUUCAUCAGAGCUUAGUGAUGUUGAUGCUACUAUGUUCACCUAAAUAAAUAUGCAUUAGGUUAGCAGUAAGAUAAGUCAUGGUUUAAUGUAUAAUCUAUCCAUAGGAAUCAAAGCUGUGUUGAGUUAUUGACUACAAUGUUACAUUGUACAUCUGAUUCUAAUUAUAGAACUGAUUCUAAUUAUAGAACUGAUUCUAAUUAUAGAAUACAUUCUCAUUCUAAAUCUGAUUGUAAUUCUAGAACUGAUUCUAAUUAUAGAACUGAUUCUAAUUAUAGAACUGAUU
rnacentral:lncRNA from 1 species